CCUAGACCUUGCAGAGAUGGAGUGUGCCUUCGGGACUCUGAGACAGGUGCUGCAUGGCUGUCGUCAGCUCGUGUUGUGAGAUGUUGGGUUAAGUCCCGCAACGAGCGCAACCCUUAUCCUUGUUUGCCAGCACUUCGGGUGGGAACUUCAAGGAAAAUGGCGGGGAAUAACCGGAAGAAGGGGGGGAAGAACUCCAGUCCUCCUGGCCCUUUACAAUAAGGGUACCCCCCUGCUUCCAUGGCGUAUACCAAAGGCAUCCCAACCCCGGGGGGGAACCAAUCCCCAAAAGUAUGUCCUAAUCCGGAAUGGAAUCCGCAACUCCACUCCCUGAAAUCGGAAUCCCUAAUAAUCCUGGAACCAAAUGCCCCGGUGAAUACCUUCCCGGGUCUUGGACCCCCCG
rnacentral:rRNA from 1 species